AGUAGCAGGUCUAGUAAUGGGGUAGAUAUGGCAGUAGCAGGUCAUUAUUUGAUCUAGUAAUGGGGGAAGAUAUGGCAGUAGCAGCUCAUUAUUUGAUCUAGUAAUGGGGGAAGAUAUGGCAGUAGCAGCUCAUUAUUUGAUCUAGUAAUGGGGGGAGAUAUGGCAGUAGCAGCUCAUUAUUUGAUCUAGUAAUGGGGGGAAGAUAUGGCAGUAGCAGCUCAUUAUUUGAUCUAGUAAUGGGGGGUGAUAUGGCAGUAGCAGCUCAUUAUUUGAUCUAGUAAUGGGGGGAAGAUAUGGCAGUAGCAGCUCAUUAUUUGAUCUAGUAAUGGGGGGAGAUAUGGCAGUAGCAGGUCUAGUAAUGGGGGGUAGAUAUGGCAGUAGCAGCUCAUUAUUUGAUCUAAUAGUGGGGGUAGAUAUGGCAGUAGCAGCUCAUUAUUUGAUCUAGUAAUGGGGGAAGAUAUGGCAGUGGCAGGUCUAGUAAUGGGGGUAGAUAUGGCAGUAGCAGGUCUAGUAAUGGGGGGGUAGAUAUGGCAGUAGCAGGUCUAGUAAUGGGGGGUAGAUAUGGCAGUAGCAGGUCUAGUAAUGGGGGGUAGAUAUGGCAGUAGCAGGUCUAGUAAUGGGGGUAGAUAUGGCAGUAGCAGGUCUAGUAAUGGGGGUAGAUAUGGCAGUAUCUCUUUCCAUCAUUCAGGACUGGGGGGGGGUUCCUUCUCUGACCUUCAUUCAGGAAAGACAACAGUUGGGAAUACCGUCACUAAACCUCUAAGAAACGAAAAGAAAAAGCCAUCUUUCUAGCAAAAACAACAAUGUAUUGGUUAAAGGCUUUGGACAAUAUGUGGCAAAACAGCAUAUCUUUAUGAGUUAAAGAGAAACAAGGAUGUUUCGUA
rnacentral:lncRNA from 1 species